rnacentral:sRNA from 1 species
GAGCAACUAUAUCACCAAGAUCUAACCCAGCAGCAGCAGCAGCUGCUGUUGAUGCUUUUGCUGCUGAUGCUGAUGUUGCUGCGGUUGUUUUUGCUGCUGCUGCUAGGUUAGAUCUUGGUGAUAUAG